rnacentral:rRNA from 1 species
GUGCGAAAGCAGGUCAUAGUGAUCCGGUGGUUCUGAAUGGAAGGGCCAUCGCUCAACGGAUAAAAGGUACUCCGGGGAUAACAGGCUGAUACCGCCCAAGAGUUCAUAUCGACGGCGGUGUUUGGCACCUCGAUGUCGGCUCAUCACAUCCUGGGGCUGAAGUAGGUCCCAAGGGUAUGGCUGUUCGCCAUUUAAAGUGGUACGCGAGCUGGGUUUAGAACGUCGUGAGACAGUUCGGUCCCUAUCUGCCGUGGGCGCUGGAGAAUUGAGGGGGCUGCUCCUAGUACGGAGAGGACCGGAGUGGACGCAUCACUGGUGUUCGGGUUGUCAUGCCAAUGGCACUGCCCGGUAGCUAAAUGCGGAAGAGAUAAGUGCUGAAAGCAUCUAAGCACGAAACUUGCCCCGAGAUGAGUUCU